GGCCGGUUGGCCCAAUGGUAGGGCGUUGCUUUCCGGUCUCUGAACACGAUUCCUCGUGUUCUCACCGCUGGCAAAGAUUCUGGGUUCGAUCCCCAGGCUGGUCG